CCUACGGGGGGCUGCAGUGGGGAAUAUUGGACAAUGGGGGCAACCCUGAUCCAGCCAUGCCGCGUGUGUGAAGAAGGCCCUCGGGUUGUAAAGCACUUUCAGUGAGGAAGAACGCCUGGUGGUUAAUACCCAUCAGGAAAGACAUCACUCACAGAAGAAGCACCGGCUAACUCCGUGCCAGCAGCCGCGGUAAUACGGAGGGUGCGAGCGUUAAUCGGAAUUACUGGGCGUAAAGCGCGCGUAGGUGGCUUGAUAAGCCGGUUGUGAAAGCCCCGGGCUCAACCUGGGAACGGCAUCCGGAACUGUCAAGCUAGAGUGCAGGAGAGGAAGGUAGAAUUCCCGGUGUAGCGGUGAAAUGCGUAGAGAUCGGGAGGAAUACCAGUGGCGAAGGCGGCCUUCUGGACUGACACUGACACUGAGGUGCGAAAUCGUGGGUAGCAAACAGGAUUAGAUACCCGUGUAGUC
rnacentral:rRNA from 1 species